AGUGAACGCUGGCGGGAGGCCUAACACAUGCAAGUCGAACGGCAGCACAGUAAGAGCUUGCUCUUACGGGUGGCGAGUGGCGGACGGGUGAGGAAUACGUCGGAAUCUACUUUUUCGUGGGGGAUAACGUAGGGAAACUUACGCUAAUACCCCAUACGACCUACGGGUGAAAGCAGGGGAUCUUCGGACCUUGCGCGAUUGAAUGAGCCGAUGUCGGAUUAGCUAGUUGGCGGGGUCAAGGCCCACCAAGGCAACGAUCCGUAGCUGGUCUGAAGGGAUGAGCAGCCGCACUGGAACUGAGACACGGUCAAGACUCCUCCGGGAGGCAGCAGUGGGGAAUAUUGGACAAUGGGCGAAAGCCUGAUCCAGCCAUACCGAGUCGGUGAAGAAGGCCUUCGGGUUGUAAAGCCCUUUUGUUGGGAAAGAAAAGCAGCAGGUUAAUACCCCGCUGUUCUGACGGUACCCAAAGAAUAAGCACCGGCUAACUUCGUG
rnacentral:rRNA from 1 species